UGCCACGUAUGCGGACCGCUUGAGGCGU
rnacentral:sRNA from 1 species